rnacentral:rRNA from 1 species
UGGGGAAUAUUGGACAAUGGGCGCAAGCCUGAUCCAGCAAUGCCGCGUGUGUGAAGAAGGCCUUCGGGUUGUAAAGCACUUUUAUCAGGAGCGAAACGCUGUCGGCUAAUACCCGGCGGAACUGACGGUACCUGAGGAAUAAGCACCGGCUAACUUCGUGCCAGCAGCCGCGGUAAUACGAAGGGUGCAAGCGUUAAUCGGAAUUACUGGGCGUAAGGCGUGCGUAGGCGGUUUCUUAAGUCUGCUGUGAAAUCCCCGGGCUCAACCUGGGAAUGGCAGUGGAUACUGGGAGGCUAGAGUGUGUCAGAGGGUGGUGGAAUUCCCGGUGUAGCGGUGAAAUGCGUAGAGAUCGGGAGGAACAUCAGUGGCGAAGGCGGCCACCUGGGACAACACUGACGCUGAGGCACGAAAGCGUGGGGAGCAAACAGGAUUAGAUACCCUGGUAGUCCACGCCCUAAAGCGAUGCGAACUGGAUGUUGGUCUCAACUCGGAGAUCAGUGUCGAAGCUAACGCGUUAAGUUCGCCGCCUGGGGAGUACGGUCGCAAGACUGAAACUCAAAGGAAUUGACGGGGUCAUAGCUGUUUCCUG